GACGAACGCUGGCGGCGUGCUUAACACAUGCAAGUCGAACGGAAAGGCCUGCUUUCCCUUGUGGAUUGCGGGUACUUGAGUGGCGAACGGGUGAGUAACACGUGAGUGAUCUGCCCCCAACUUGGGUAUAAGCCUGGGAAACUGGGUCUAAUUCCCGAUAGGACUGCAGGGUGGUGCCUGUGGUGGAAAACGAUUUUCUAGUGGUUGGGGAUGAGCUCGCGGCCUAUCAGCUUGUUGGUGGGGUAAUGGCCUACCAAGGCGGCGACGGGUAGCCGGCCUGGGAGGGUGGACGGCCACAUUGGGACUGAGAUACGGCCCAGACUCCUACGGGAGGCAGCAGUGGGGAAUAUUGCACAAUGGGCGGAAGCCUGAUGCAGCGACGCCGCGUGGGGGAUGACGGCCUUCGGGUUGUAAACUCCUUUCGACCGCGAGGAAGCCACCUGGUUGGAAGGGUGGUGACGGUAGUGGUAGAAGAAGCACCGGCUAACUACGUG
rnacentral:rRNA from 1 species